GGCGACAUCGUCUAGUGGUUAGGACGUUCGGUUUUGAAGGAUAGCGUGGUAAUCCGCGUACUUCAACUAUCCGAACGACCUGGGUUCGAACCCCAGUGACGCCU
rfam:Cryptococcus neoformans var. neoformans JEC21 chromosome 9 sequence.